AGACAGGUGGUGCAUGGUUGUCGUCAGCUCGUGUCGUGAGAUGUUGGGUUAAGUCCCGCAACGAGCGCAACCCCUAUUUUCAGUAGCCAGCAUGUAAAGAUGGGCACUCUGGAGAGACUGCCUGGGAUAACCAGGAGGAAGGCGGGGAUGACGUCAAAUCAUCAUGCCCCUUAUGAUCAGGGCUACACACGUGCUACAAUGGCGUAAACAAAGGGAAGCAAAGCGGUGACGCCAAGCAAAUCCCAAAAAUAACGUCUCAGUUCGGAUUGUAGUCUGCAACUCGACUACAUGAAGCUGGAAUCGCUAGUAAUCGCGAAUCAGAAUGUCGCGGUGAAUACGUUCCCGGGUCUUGUACACACCGCCCGUCACACCAUGGGAGUCGGAAAUGCCCGAAGUCAGUGACCUAACCGAAAGGGAGGAGCUGCCGAAGGUGGAGCCGGUAACUGGGGUGAAGUCGUAACAAGGUAGCCGUAUCGGAAGGUGCGGCUGGAUCACCUC
rnacentral:rRNA from 1 species